rnacentral:rRNA from 1 species
UGGGGAAUAUUGGACAAUGGGCGAAAGCCUGAUCCAGCCAUGCCGCGUGUGUGAAGAAGGUUGUCGGAUUGUAAAGCACUUUAAGUUGGGAGGAAGGGCAGUAAGCGAAUACCUUGCUGUUUUGACGGUACCGACAGAAUAAGCAUCGGCUAACUCUGUGCCAGCAGCCGCGGUAAUACAGAGGGUGCGAGCGUUAAUCGGAUUUACUGGGCGUAAAGCGUGCGUAGGCGGCUAAUUGAGUCGGAUGUGAUAUCCCCGAGCUUAACUUGGGCAUUGCGUUCGAUACUGGUUAGCUAGAGUGUGGGCGGGGAUGGUAGAAUUCUAGGUGUAGCGGUGAAAAGCGUAGAGAUCUGGAGGAAUACCGAUGGCGAAGGCAGCCAUCUGGCCUAACACUGACGCUGAGGUACGAAAGAAUGGUGGGCAAACAGG